GCCCGCGGCCUAUCAGCUAGUUGGUGAGGUAAUGGCUCACCAAGGCAACGACGGGUAGCUGGUCUGAGAGGACGACCAGCCACACUGGAACUGAGACACGGUCCAGACACCUACGGGUGGCAGCAGUCGAGAAUCUUUCACAAUGGGCGAAAGCCUGAUGGAGCGACGCCGCGUGGAGGUUAAGGUCUUCGGAUUGUAAACUCCUGUCAUGCGAGAACAAAGCCCGCAAGGGUCUGAUAGUAUCGCAAGAGGAAGAGACGGCUAACUCUGUGCCAGCAGCCGCGGUAAUACAGAGGUCUCAAGCGUUGUUCGGAAUUACUGGGCGUAAAGGGUGCGCAGGCCGCGCGGGCAGUCAAAUGUGUAAUCCAGGGGCUCAACCCCUGAACUGCGCUUGAUACUUCCGCGCUCGAGCUUUGGAGAGGAGUCUGGAAUUCUCGGUGUAGCAGUGAAAUGCGUGGAUAUCGAGAAGAACACUUAGGGCGUAGGCAAGACUCUGGACAAAUGCUGACGCUCAUGCACGAAGGCUAGGGUAGCGAACGGGAUUAGAUACCCCGGUAGUCCUAGCUGUAAACGGUGCACGUUUGGUGUGGGAGGCAACCCCUUCCGUGCCGAAGCUAACGCGAUAAACGUGCCGCCUGGGUAGUACGGUCGCAAGACUAAAACUCAAAGAAAUUGACGGGGACCCGCACAAGCGGUGGAGUAUGUGACUUAAUUCGAUGCAACGCGAAGAACCUUACCAGGGCUUGACAUGUAUUGUAACCCCGGUGAAAGCCGGGCAGCGUAGAAAUACGCGCUUUACACAGGUGCUGCAUGGCCGUCGUCAGCUCGUGUCGUGAGAUGUUGGGUUAAGUCCCGCAACGAGCGCAACCCUUAUGAUUUGUUGCCACCGGUUCAUUCCGAGCACUCAAAUCAGACUGCCCAGAUUAACUGGGAGGAAGGUGGGGAUGACGUCAAGUCCGUAUGGCCCUUACGUCCUGGGCUGCACACGUACUACAAUGUCCAGUACAAAUUGAACCGAGACCGCAAGGUGGAGGAAAUCAAUAAAACUGGGCUCAGUUCAGAUUGCAGGCUGCAACUCGCCUGCAUGAAGUCGGAAUCGCUAGUAAUGGUACAUCAGCAACGGUACCGUGAAUACGUUCCCGGGCCUUGUACACACCG
rnacentral:rRNA from 1 species